GGUUAAGCGACUAAGCGUACACGGUGGAUGCCCUGGCAGUCAGAGGCGAUGAAGGACGUGCUAAUCUGCGAUAAGCGUCGGUAAGGUGAUAUGAACCGUUAUAACCGGCGAUUUCCGAAUGGGGAAACCCAGUGUGAUUCGUCACACUAUCAUUAACUGAAUCCAUAGGUUAAUGAGGCGAACCGGGGGAACUGAAACAUCUAAGUACCCCGAGGAAAAGAAAUCAACCGAGAUUCCCCCAGUAGCGGCGAGCGAACGGGGAGCAGCCCAGAGCCUGAAUCAGUGUGUGUGUUAGUGGAAGCGUCUGGAAAGGCGUGCGAUACAGGGUGACAGCCCCGUACACAAAAAUGCACAUACUGUGAGCUCGAUGAGUAGGGCGGGACACGUGGUAUCCUGUCUGAAUAUG
rnacentral:rRNA from 1 species